GUAGAAAAACUUGUCUCUUUAGUUCAUAGCUCAUCAUAUAGAAAGGAACUGUGCCCCAUUAGCCAAAAAGCCUCAUCCAUGCCUGGAUCUGAUUUAGGUGAUGGCCACCUGGAACCUGGCCUGAGCGUGAUGUUGCAAUGCAGUGAGAACUCCAGGGGUCAUUGGAGGGUAACUGUGUUUCCUGUGUAUUCCGAAGGCAGGCAAAUGAUCACACACUAAGGAUGACUAAUACUCACCUUUGGAGUCUGGAGUCCCUAUAUGAAAAGUUCACUGGAAGGACCAUGUGAAGAGGGCCUGAGACCAUGUGGAAAGACUGAAGAGCACAGGUGUGAAUUGGCCUCAAGAUGUAGGUGUUCUCCAAAACAGCAGCAGAAUCACAGAACCCAAGAAUGG